rnacentral:rRNA from 1 species
GUGAGGAAUUUUCCGCAAUGGGCGAAAGCCUGACGGAGCAAUGCCGCGUGAAGGAUGAAGGCCUAUGGGUUGUAAACUUCUUUUCUCAGAAAAGAAUUAUGACGGUAUCUGAGGAAUAAGCAUCGGCUAACUCUGUGCCAGCAGCCGCGGUAAGACAGAGGAUGCAAGCGUUAUCCGGAAUGAUUGGGCGUAACGCGUCUGUAGGUUGUUUAAAAAGUAUUCUGUCAAAGAUUAGGGCUUAACCCUAGAUAGGCAGAAUAAACUUUUAAGCUAGAGUGUGGUAGAGGCAGAGGGAAUUCCCGGUGGAGCGGUGAAAUGCGUAGAUAUCGGGAGGAACACCAAAGGCGAAGGCACUCUGCUGGGCCAAUACUAACACUGAGAGACGAAAGCGAGGGGAGCAAAUGGGAUUAGAUACCCGGGUAGUCC